UGCAGGGCCCAUGUGCUGGUCACAGGGAAACACAGGGAGGAUCUGAGAGUCUGUGUCACUGGGACCCUAAGCACCUCUGACUCGAGGGGAUUGCUGAGGCAGUGAGUUUCAAAGAUUCCAUGAUGCCGGCAACCAGUUAUAUUUCCCCGGAGGAAUCAGGACCACUGACUCUCCCAGGAUGUGUCAAUCUCUCGCCUGAGAGAACAUCAUCUAUCUCCAGCACAGACAGAUUCCAGACAUCAACUCCAGAAAUGUACUCAGACCCACCAGCCUCAGUAGUGUAUUUAACACAAGGGGCAACCAACACUGGCGAGCUACAUUCAGACAAUGAGCCAUGAAUCUCGUCUUUCUUUCCACCAAGAGUGAGAUUCAAACUUGCUGUUUCACCAGACAGAGAAGAAAAAGGUAUGUCUUUUUCCCCAUCCUUGCUCAUUUCAGACCAUCCAAUGAAGCUUCGAUCAGCAUGCCCAGGUUUUCAAAUCAAAAUCGAUUUGUAUUUGUUUAGGAGGAGUGAAGCGUAUUCACUGAUUCAGGUAUGUUCCUUCUGGGCUGUUUCAUCACCACCUUUGGAAAAACAUGUGAGAUGGGGUCCACGGAUGGACUGUGACCUGUCCUGCAGGGAGGUGAAAUGCCAUGAUUAGAACCAUGUCCUUACAGAGUAGAUCCGCGGCUAAAGCACUUAUCUGACAGGUCUUUGUUCAUUGGUGAUUCACAGUGAUUUUGCCCUCCAGGAUUUCCAGGGGUCGGGUCUUUAGUGUCUUGAGGACACAUUUCCUGUGUCUGGAGAAUGAUGCAUCCUGGUGGGAAAGUGUGAGGCGGGGCAGACCGCUUCCUCCUCUUGGCGGGUUCCUCGUGGUCCAGGCUGAAGUCCCGUGGAGCUGGUGAAACUCUUCAGGACCUGCUGGUGCCUGUGGUGAACAGAAUGCAGCAGGCACUGCCGGUGGCUCUUGCCAGGGAAAUGCAAGA